AUUCUCUCCGAUGCUGAGAAGAUGGAAAAGGAGCCACUUACCUGUCCCAAGGAUUUUCAGAGGUGGCCUGGGAAGCAGGAGGGAAACAGUGCUUCUCUGAGGCGUGUGGGGUUACGAGCUAAGGACUCCCCACCGGUGAGGACCCCUCCCUGCUGCUCACUGGAAAAAGAUGCAGCCAGUCUGGCCCAGGUGGGUCUGGAAGCACCUGUCCCUUGGUUACCGAGGCUCGUGGGUGUCUGUCUGCAGAGGUGUGAGGCCAUGCGGAGAGCCCACCGUGCUCUGCAGGCUGCCCUCUGAGGUCUGCUUUGACCACCACGGCUGAGUCCCAGAUGAAAGAGCAACAGGCAAGGUCAGUGUUCGCAGGGGCCGUUUGCAUUGUGUGUGGGGUCAGGUAUGGACGCAUCCUGUCUCUUCGGAAUGUGUGCAGAAGAAGGAAUCUGAAAAGGGGCAGAAGGAAGGGGUGAGUGGCAGACUGAAUUCUGCCGUCAUUUUAUCUAAGGACACUUAAAAUUUGGGAUUUUUUUUUUUUUUUUUAGGAAGCAGAGAAGCAAUUUAAGUUCUCGGGAUGUGAUGUCACCCUUGCCCUCUCACCCACACCUGGGGUCACACACUCUCCCCGUAACCUGGAAACCAGGGUGUCCCUGAGGGUUGUCUUGAUGCAGACACACCUCACAGGAAAUUGCUCCUCGAGAGGCUUAUUAUGCCCUGGAGUGACACCACCUGGCACACUGCUGACCUGACUGGUAGAGUGCUGAUCGCUUUACCCUACACUUUAAAGAAACGGCAGAACACAGCCUGCAGAUAAAUGGCACAUCUUACUUUUGUGACCUAGUCUGGCUGGUCUAGCAAGCCCUCCAGGUGUCCCCACCUGAGCUCCACAUGUCUCCUGCCUCCGGGGGAAAGUGCAGUCCUUGAUUCUCAGGCUCCAUUCAGGUCAAAACGGGCCCCUCUGCAGUGACGCAGACGCCGGAUCUGAGCAUGCAUCGUCAGAGUGCUUUCCCGAGUCAUUGCUUCUGAGGCAUUGCCUUUCCCAACCCUUGAGCCUUUUUCUUCGUUCUGGAACGUUGCC
rnacentral:lncRNA from 1 species